UGCUCUCUAGAGGAGUUUCUUCACGCUGACUGUAGAGUUUCACCAAACCUCUUCACAGCACUGUCCUCUACAGUUCCUCUGUCGCUUUUAGUGUUCACAUAUUUAUUAUAAGAUUUAGUUGUGACUUCAUUUUCAAAAUUAGGAACUGUUUUAGUUUGAAAUCGUUAAGAAAAAUGCAAAAGAAAAUAUAUGGCAUGUUUAAAAUCUCUUGUUUGUGCUUAUGGAGUCUGAGUGGUGUGUUUGGAGUUGAUUCAGUGAAGUCCGUGUCAGUGACGGAGGGAGAUUUAGUGCAUCUAAACUCUGAUCUUACUGAAAUACAGAGAGACGAUGAGAUGACGUGGAAAUUUAACAACAUUAUGAUAGCUAAACUCAAGGACAGUAAGAGCAGGUUUUAUGAAGAUAAUGCUGAAGGGAGAUUCAGAGACAGACUGAAGCUGGAUCAGACUGGAUCUCUGAUCAUCACAAACACCAGAAUCACACACUCUGGAGAAUAUACAGUCAUCGGCACCAGCACAGACUCCACACUCAACAUCUUCAGACUUACUGUCUACGCUCCUGUGCCUGUUCCUGUCAUCACCAGAGACUCUUCUCAAAAUUCAUCAUCAUCAUCAUCAUCAUCAUCAUCAAAUUGUUCAUUGUUGUGUUCAGUGUUGAAUGUGAGUGAUGUGACUCUCUCCUGGUACAAAGGAAACAGUUUAUUGUCCAGCAUCAGUGUGUCUGAUCUCAGCAGAAGUCUUUCUUUAAAUCUGGAGUAUCUGGAUGAUUUCUACAGCUGUGUGGUGAACAAUCCCAUCAGAAACCAGACCACACAUCUCAACACUGAACUCUGUCAGACAUGUUCAGAUCCUCCAGACUCUGUGUCUCUGAUAGUGUGGAUCUGUGUCAUUGCUGCUGCUGGUUUUCUGUUGAUUGUAACUACAGUCGGGAUCUUCUUUAUCUGCAGGAAACACAGAAAAACAGACCAAGAAGUUCAGACCGGUGACAGAGAGAUCACUUACGCUGAUCCAACAUUUUACAAAAGACAUAAAUCAAGAGCUACAGAGCAGGAUAAUGUGGUGUACGCAGGAGUCUCAAGACGCUGAUCAAUUCUUGAUCAAAAUGUAAUUCUGUUUUAUUGAUUACUAACUUUAUCCCAAACACAGAGACAGGAGACAGAAUCACAUGUUCUUUGUGAAUAGAGAUAAAUGCCCAUUAAAUGUCAUUUUGUCAUAGUUACACAUAUAUUUGAAAAAAUAAAGUUUACUGUUAUUAUUUCACGCUCUCUGCCAGAAUAUUUUUGUGAGUUUGCCCGUCUAUGCUCUCCCUUUCACUCCUCUCGUCCUUUCCCUUCCUCUCUUCUGUGCUCUCUCUCUCUCUCUCUACUCUUAUCUCUCUCUAUCUCAAUGUCUACACACAUCCUCACUCUUGUAUAUUUCCUCAUGAAUUCAGAUGUUCAGAACAGGACGGGGGCUAUAGGCCCGAAGGUUAUUGAGUUUGGUCUUUGCCAGAUGUGCUCCUAAUAUGGUCAGAACUUCCUGCCCAUGUUCCCAUUUUAUAUAACAUACAGAUGUAAUAUGUAUCCUACGGGAUCUAGAAGUAGCAGGAAAAGAAAAACCCUUUGUUUGCUAGAUAUUCCUAUUUGAUGUAGUGUACAGUUCUUAUUGGUGAUCCCCUACACCCCUGACAGUGUAUCUGUAUAUUCUACUGAUGUAAUAAUACAAUUUGAAGAAGUUUGUGAACAGACAAUUGGCUUCAUGUUCAUAAUUCU